rnacentral:rRNA from 1 species
UACAGAGGCCUCAAGCGUUAGGCGGAAUCACUGGGCUUAAAGCGUGUGUAGGCGGACUUCUAAGUACCUUGUGAAAUCCCACGGCUUAACUGUGGAACUGCUUGGUAUACUGGUUGUCUUGAGCCACUCAGGGGCGAGCGGAACAAAUGGUGGAGCGGUGAAAUGCGUAGAUAUCUGGAGGAACACCGGUGGCGAAGGCGGCAUCCUGGACCGAGAUUGACGCUGAUGCGCGAAAGCCAGGGGAGCAAACGGG